rnacentral:lncRNA from 1 species
UCACUCUGAACAUGUGAGACUUCAAGGGGCCAUCUUAGAUCUUAAUGUUGUGCUUCGUCAGAUAAAGAUGGAAGAAGAGCUCAGAAGUUCAACUCUGCUCCCUAGUGCCUCACUUCGCUACUUUUAUGGUAAUUUCCUGCAAACCCAGGUUUAGAACAGGGAAAUAAUCUUCCACUAUGCUCAAAAAGGGUCAUGCCUUAAGAAAGUACCUCCUCUGUGAUGAAGGAUGGAAAAGGCCCCAAGGAUGCCUUCUACUACUGCAUGCCAUGGAGCAAACCACCAGCAUAGGAAUUGGCUCAUUACAUGCACUGGACGCUCCCCAGAUCUGCUGGUGGUCAGAGAGCUGAGCUCAGCAUAAAGAAAUAUGUAAAUAAAUAAAUCAAAC